rnacentral:rRNA from 1 species
GACGAACGCUGGCGGCGUGCUUAACACAUGCAAGUCGAACGGGCCCGCUCUCUUUUUUGGGGGUGGGUUGAGUGGCGAACGGGUGAGUAUCACGUGAGUAACCUGCCCCCUGCUCCUGGAUAACUGCUUGAAAGGGCGGCUAAUACGGGGUGUGCCGGCUGGUCCGCAUGGGCCUGGUCGGGAUAGUUUCAUCUUCGGGUGUUUCGGUGGGGGAUGGGCUCGCGGCCUAUCAGCUUGUUGGUGGGGGGAUGGCCCACCAAGGCGGUGACGGGUAGCCGGCCUGAGAGGGUGGGCGGCCACACUGGGACUGAGACACGGCCCAGACGCCUGCGGGAGGCAGCAGUGGGGGGGAUUGCACAAUGGGCGGAAGCCUGAUGCAGCGACGUCGCGUGAGGGAUGGAGGCCUUCGGGUUGUGAACCCCUUUCUCCGGUGGUGAAGGCCCUGUCCGUUGCGGCGGGGUUGACGGUAGCCGGGUAUGAAGCGCCGGCUAACUACGUG